GUGGACCACAGCUCGAGAGAGCUGCCAGUGUUCAGGAUGCCUACUAAUCACAUUAGUUAUAUUCAGUCUCCCACUGAUCCUAUUAGUGAUAACAGGCUGUGGAUCUUCAAGGAAGUAACACUAAUAGCAGCAGGAGUGAAUGUAGUGUAGGUGCGGUGCCAGGUGCAUUUCAUACAUUAUCUCACAGCAACUGUUGAGGUAGGUUUUGUUUUAUCCCCACUUUCAGAUGAGAAAACUGAAGAUCAGAGAGCUGAGUUAACAUGCCUACUGUCACACAGCUGGUAAGAUUAGAGCCAGUGGGAAACACUCAGCAGUCUGAGUCCAGAGCCCAUGCUGUGAGCUGCUCUGUUAUUGCUGGAGAGGCUACCAGGGUGGGUGAAGUGAAGAGAUAGCAUGCCAGAGAGGUAGGAGGUCAAAGCAGUGGCUGAGAGUCUUGGACUCAAGGAUCUAAAUAGCAAAUCAAAGUUUUCCCCAGAACCUCUUUUCUCAUCUGAUUCCCAUAAAGUCCUCUGAGAUGGACAGGGUUCUUCCUAUUUCCAUUUUCUAGGCAAAGAAACUGACAGUGCUCAGCAGGCAAGCAUUGCCUUGUAGCCCGAGUCGUAUGCUAGGAGAGUGCCGCCUUCUCGCCCAAUGCCAAAGACUCAGGGCCCUUCUUGGCAGCUUUUCUCCCUUGGGGCAUCAUGCUGUCACAUGCCAUAGAGGGGAACUUGGCAAAACAGGCAGUGGUGUCAAAAGAGAGAGGGAUGGCAACCCAAAGUCCAGGCACUUGUCUGACCAGCAGUGAGAGUCCUCCUGGGUGUCUGUGACUGAGACUCAGAGCUGUUCUGCAUUCUAGGGUUCAAUUCCAUGUUAAGCCAGGAACAGUUCCUCUGCAAACAGAAAAGGAAGUGUAGAGGAUGAAAAGGACAGGUCAGGAAAAUACACUGAAGCCUUGGAGGCCGUGGACAAUGAGGUUUGAAGGAACAGAGAAAAAGGAGCUCAAAUGCUGCCUGGAUUUCUUUCUCAAUGGAGGGAGAAAUUGAGGCCUGCAGAGGGGAAGGAACAUGCCAAAAGUCAUGCAGCCCGUAAAGUAAAAAUGCCAAGCACCAUGCUGGCCCCAGGACCCCUUGCUUGAUUCACUGUACUCUCAGAAAAGAGACUAUAUUUAGAUAAAUGAAAGCCAGCUUGCCUGGAGUCUCCCUUCUGAUAUCUCAAAGCAAACAGAGGCAACUGGCAGCAGGGUUGCUAUGCCAGAAGCUCAAGCUCUGGAGACGUGUUCCCCUUCUAUGAAAUUUUUAUGAACAGGGACUGAGAACCAGGAUAGAAUUGCUUUGGUUUAUCGGGACCUCUCCCCAGAGUUUGUAAUCAUGUUCCUCCUACAUGCCACUCUGGUGUUUAAAUUCUAAGUGGGUUUUAUAUUCAGUUCGAUAUGAGAUUUCUUCCCUUCUAAUGAGCCAACUUUGCCUUUGUUCUUUUGUUUAUAUUCCCUAGACAAUCGACAGUUCCUGAAAGUUGCAGUCCUGCUGGAUGCGGAAGAGGGGAAAUUUCAGGACAGUUCCUGAAUAUUCAGGCCUUCAAAGCCCCAUUCAAGGCCAGUACAGGGCCUCCAGAAUAAAGGGGGAGAUCUUUCACAUGUUAUAAUCUGCUGCAGAUGAGAACACCCAUUCUCAACUCAGAUCCUCACAUGGUCUCCCCUGCCCAGGGCAGUUCCCCUGCUGGUCAUCCGCAUGGGGAAGUGUAGAGGGGAAAUUUUUCCGUAAUAAGGGGACGAUCGUCUGCUCCUCCAGUUUCUUUCCUCAUCAACAGGUUGAGUUCUGAAGUUUUACAAUUAGAAAUGAAGUCUUUAAUUUCAGGUUCUGUUCACCAGGACAAAGGAGAAUAUUAUACUGACUGUAGGACUUGUCCUUAUUUUUGUGGGGAGAGGUCCACAAAUAUUUAUGGAGAAUCUGCUAUGUCCAAAGCCCUUUUUAAGAACUGAAGAUUCAGCAGUUGAAGCAAACAAAUGUUCUGCUGUGGUGGAGCUGACAUUCCCUGGAGCGAGUCAGACAUCAUAUGAUGGUCUGUAGGGCAGUGUGAAAGGCAAACGCAGGUAAAGGCCUAGAGAGUGACAGAGGUGGCAUUUUAGACUGGAUAGACAGACAUUGAGUUAGGGCGAGGGUUAGGAGUAGAGACCUGAGGAGCUGAUGUUUGAAUAGAGACCUGAAUGAAGCUAGAGAAUGUAUUCUGAAGCAUGGGGGGAAGACACCUCCACUUGUUAGAUUGGUCUCCUCUGAAAUGGGGUGGAGUCUGCCUUCCAACCUCAGAUCACACAGAACCAGCUUAACCCUGCUUCCAGAUACACAUCCCCUCCAUGUUCUUGAAGACCAUCCUUGGGUCCCACCUGAACCUUCUCAUCCCAGCAAAUCUGACUGAUUUUCCAGCCUAAAGUUACCUUUCAGAGUGCAUUUACCCCAAACAAAACAAAGCAAAACAACCCAGCCCUUCUAGAAUCUGGAGUCAGUUACUAGAUCUUUGAUUCUUCUUCUUCUGCUGUUCUUGGUCCUUAUGAGAUUCUGGAGCUUCAGAGAUAGGCAUACCCUCUGAGGUCAGAUGACCCAACGCCCUCAUUUUACAAAUGGAGAAAGUGAAGCCCAGGCAUAGGAAGGACGUUUUUGGCUGCUUACAGUGCUAGUUACAAAAAUGACAGAGUGGGAACACAUGUCCAGGUUUCCUACUGAUCUCGUGCUCUUUUUCCUUCCAGCCUCCAGCACCCCAAAUGCCACCUUUAAUCCACAUCUACUUUACGUACUUGGAGAAUAACAACAAUAGCUCAUGUUUCCAAAGAACUUGGGUUUCCUCUUGCAAUGUUGUUCUGUUCUUCUCUGAGGAUGUAUUCUGAGAAGAGAAACUCUCUGUAGGUUUCUUUUUUUCACUUUUAAACUAAAUAUUGUCUUUUGUUUUACUCCAGGCUCUGUGCUAAAGGCUUUAUACUCAGUAUUUCAUUUAACUCUCAAAACCCCUUUGUGAGACAUUAUAAUCAUUUUUAUUGAAAGACUAGGAAGCUCAAGUUCAGAGAGGCUGAGUAAUUUACCCAAGGUCACACAACCAGAGAAUGGUGGAGCUGGGAUGAGAACUCAGGACCUGCAGACUCACCCACUAGGCUGGUUUGUUCUCUAUGACUAGCAUCUGUCACCAGCCAAAGUAUCAUGCUCCUAUUGGGACAUUUGUCUUUUCAUAUUCAUGGGGCUUCUUUCUCUUUGGCUAAUUGGUUACUGUUCUUCACCCCAAUAUCAUAGCAGUUGGCCAUGCCAGGAGCCUACCAUCCUCUAGCCUUUCUCUGCGAGGUUCCUGACCCACAGCUUGGGAUGUUUAGCAUCACCUGACCUUGGAAUCCUGGCCACAGCUGAUGCAAUACAGAAUAACUUGACCCAAAGCCUACUAGCUAUGGGCUGGUCAGCAGCCUCUGAGGUGUUGAUGCUCUGUCCAUAGGAACACUGCGCUCUGGCAGGUGAUUGGCUGAAUCGAUCAGACCUUUUCUCUUGGAGAGCAGUAAGAUAGGGUAAGGCAUAAGACUAGUGCUCAUAAUCAGAAGAGGCAGAGACACAGAAGUCCAAGGCUUAUGGACAGAUUAGACAAGAGUGAAAAACAUUCCAGUGGUGGAACGAUAUCAUGGACUCCAUGGGGUUUGACUCUGCAGCUCAGAUGGUUUCCUUACUUCUCUGUGAAUUUUUAAAAUAAACUUCUGGUAAGUGAGUAACAUGAAUGUGUCUCUGUCCAUGCUCCCCAGAAGAGGCAAAUCAGCACUCUUCAGUCUGUUCCCCUUCAGAGCAGCAACUGGUUCAGCUGAUCACCCUCCAGCACUGAGUCUCCACGUUGGGCAGAACUUCUACAGUCAUUGGCCCCUGGUUAGACCUGAGGUAAGUUUCCUCAAGGGAGGCUGAGAAACCAUCUGGGCAGAUUCCUGAGGCCCACUUCAGACUUGAUGGAGCAGAAUUCCUGUGGGUGGCUCCUGAGACAUCUUACCCAAACUCUCCAGAUGAUUUUAUUUCAAGUGAUUUCUAUGGAUCUGCAAGUUUGAAAACAAUGACCAUGGAGAGCUGUUUGUGGAUCACAUACUCACUCUGGUCCUACUCAUUGUGGUGAGCAUGCAUGAUCUGGGGUGAAGAUCCUGCAUUCUCUUUGCUCAAAGGUCUUGCUGUGGAUCCUCCUUUUUGUGGGGUGGAGGUAGGGACCAUUGGAUCCCAUCAUACAACACCUGAUAUGUUUUAGGAACUGGUCAUACCUGAAAUGGCAAAUGCUACCCAUGAACUGCAUCUGCAGGUUGCAAAGGUAUUUUUAAAAAUAUUUUGAAUUAUUCGCUAUCUCUUAAUGACCCCAAUAUUUCACACACACAGAAAUCUGAUUUCCAUCUUUUCUUGAAAAUCUGUGAUAUUUAGUAGCACUGGGCUUUCAUUCUGUUUUGGCAACAAUGAACUAUUGCUGAAUACAGAUGCCAUCUUCAGAUGGGGCUUAAGUGCCCCAUUUACUUCAGGGUCCCCCCUCUCCUGAUAAUGUCUCCAAAUUUGAGGCUGUCAGUGGUUCAAGAAAAAUGGGAGUGAUCACAUUUUUUUGUGGAUAUGAAGAAUAUUCUCUCAUAUUUACUAGGUCAAUUUUAUAACUGUCUUGAGAAAAAUGCAACUCAAGAUGAUCAUUAUUACUCUGUUGAUGCCAGAUGUCUGAUCCUAAAGACAUUUGAGUUGUGGUGCUUGACACUGAUUCCCACAUCCCUUCAUGGGGCUGUAACUGGAAGGUGAGAGUCCACCAUAAAACCAGAGAAUAUCAGAAUCUGACUGUGGAGUGCACUAUCUUUCUUGUGCAGAUGGAGAGACUUUGGCUCAGAAAGAGAAGAGCACUCUCGGAUGUCACUCAGGAUGUGGGGCAUAGCCAGAGAGAAAGCUGAGUCCUCAUUCUCAAGCUGGGCUCUUCUUCAUCUACAACUGGCACUAUUUCCUUCAAGUUUGUUUACACUUGGCCGCAUCAUUUUUUUUGGGGGGGUGUGUUCACUAUACCAUAAGUACAGUUCUAACUAAAGUGUCUGACAAACAUUAUUUGAUUUAAUAAUUUUCCUUAUUUGACAAAUGAGAAAAUUGACAUAUAUAAGGGACUUUGUUUAUUUGUGGAAGAAAAAUAAUUUGAAUCCAGGUCUGGGCACAGUCAAAGCCUGAGGGCCUCCCCACGUUGCUGUGUAAAUGAGCUAACCUACCAACCUGGGAGAUUGGUGUCAUGCUGUUUCCAUUUUAUUAUGGAGAAGGCAAGAAGGUAAGUGGCUUGCCUGGGAUCACAUAGCCAGUAGUUGAUAUAGUCAGGACUAAAAUCUAGGGCUGGCUCCAGGAUGGCACUUGUGGCCACAUUUGCUACUCUUCUGUACCUCAUGUAACCACUAGAAACCUUCCAACAGUUCAUUUCCAUUGUUUUGUAUGGAAUCACUCUGUACAACAUAGUAUCAAUACAUAAAUGUGGGUGUGUAGAGGGGAUGGGUCUGUUUUGUGGCACACCGAAUGUACCUGUACAGUUUUGUGAUAGCGUAGCAUUUUGGGCCAACACAUUGAGCAGCAGCCUAGACAUUCAGAUGAGAUGAUGCUUACAAACAGAGAAUCUGCAUCCACAGACGAGAAGGGCCUUCUCCAGUGGCACAUGGUGAGUACCAAUUCUCAAAGAUUAGAACCAACACUCUCUAGAGCCAGAACUAGAACACAGGGUCCUGACUUUUUUUCUGUAUGAUUCUUUCUCUUUCCAACAUAUGAAGUUACUCACCUCCUAUUCAAAUGUGAUCAGUAAAAUGCCAGGAAAUGCUGUGAUUCCCUUCUGUCAUCUUCAUUUUACACUGUUAAAGAUGAGAGAUAUGACUUCUCCUCACUUAGAACCCCAGUACCUCAGAAAGUGAGGACUGUAUCAGUGGUUUUUACAACAUACUCCAAAGAGUCCUGAAGUUUCCUGUUAGGCACUUGUAAUUUUGAAAAUAACAAAGUCUUUACCACCAAGAAUAAAGAUUCAAAUUGACUAAAGAAUGUGUUAAUCACUCAAUUACAAAACAUAUUUUAUAUAUUGGGUUUAGUGUAAUAUAUCAUUUUAAAGAAAGAGUUCUAUUGCUAAAAAUAUCUUGAAAACCUCUUUUUGUAAAUAUCAUUUAUCACAGAGUCACAGGAUACAUCUACCCAGAGGUAGAAAGUAAACAUGGAUUCAAAGUCAAAUAUUCCAGUAAGGUAGAGGAAACCAAAUUUGCACUUUGGGUUAACCAGGCACUUUGCUGAAAAAUGAUCUUGCCUUCUCAGCAUCAAUCAGCUGGGACAAUGGCAGUGUUUCUUCUGUUCCUGCUGGCCAUGCAUUGACCUGCCCAUCUUUGCAAUGCAGGCGCUGGAAUAGCAGCCGUCCUUUGGCAGAAGAGUCUGAGCCUGCUGGAGGCUCUAACACUCAGGGUUGCUUGUAGGAUUUUCUACAUCUCCACUCUGGGUUCUAGAACCGAGAAGCUUGGCUGUAGAUUCAGACCCUGAAAACCUGGGAGUAAGGGUUCAGGUGGCGAGGAGGGAUGAGGUGGAAAUGGUGCUAUGAAAGUUUCUGGAAAUAUCAGCUGUAGCUUUGUGAGUACAAGAGAUUAGAAAUUUCUGUCACACAGGAACGAACUUGAGAAAAGCAAGCAGACAAAGCAGAUACACACUCGGGCCCGUUCUCCUCUAUCACCCCAGCUCAGGUGAGUGGUACACACACACACACACACACACACACACACACACAGGCUCAUAUUCAGAUUUGUCUUUGAUUCAGCUGUAGUUCUUAGUAAAGUGUUUAACUAGUCAGGUCAGACACCCUGCUUCUCAUCUCCAGCUAGCCUCAACACUUCUCCUGUCUUUAUCCACAGCAGGUAAACACCUACAGGUUUCUCCCUGCUGCAGCAUAUGAAGCUGCCACCAGGCCUGGCCUCCCUGGCCGUCUCACUCAGCCCUCGAGCUUUCCCCAAUUGAUCUCUUCAUGCCAUCAAGGCCAGACUGGACAUCCUUGGACACCAGUGAUCUCAGAACCUCAGGCCCAGAGGGCAUCGGGUCAUCCACUGCAUGCCUGUUGUUUGACAUGUGGAGAGAUUGGAGCCUAAUAUCUCAGGAGAAUGAAGGGGCCGCUCUAGCUUCCAAAAGGGCUCCCAGGAUCUCUACAUCAAGCUGGAAGCCUGUCUUAAAUCAGAUUUCACAGAUGGCAGCCCAUGGGCUAUACCAGCCCCACACACAUUUUGUUCAGUUCAUGCACUGUUGGAUGCCACAAUAUUAUCUUGUAAUUUAAAUUGAGUAAACAUUUUAAAAUGGAAAAUUUUAUCCCUCCAAAGUCCAGAUUUCCAAAUUCUCUUAAAAAAAAUCGCGCAGGGUGAUAACCUCAUCAAAACUCCCAAGUGGAGUAAUUUGCUGAAGGUGAAUAGCCACGUUCCUUUUAGGUGGCGAAUUGGCUUAAUUCAUUUCUCUCCAGUUGGCCUAUAAAGGCAUUUGUAUUUGCAGCCUCUGCUUCAUAUAAAAAUAAGAUAAUAUUAAUAAUUAUUGAUGCAUAUUGAGUAUUUUACCACUAGUAAAUACCAUGCUUAUGUUAAUUCUCAAUAAAACUCUAUAAGGUAGAUUUAUUAUCAUUCUCGUUUUACAGAUGAGAAAGCAGGGCCUUGGAUGAGUUAAGAGAGUUGCCCAAGGUCAUACACAUAAGAAGAGGAAGAGCUGGGAUUACAUUUAACCAAUUCUAGAAACUAUGCUGACCCUAAGGCCUAGGUAGACUCCUUCAUUGGAGGUGACUCUUGAAAUUUGUCCACUUCUUAUCUACAUUUGGAGUUUCAGUCUUUGUUUCCAACAGUCAGUGAGACUCUGGCACUUUUAUGCCUACAAGCAUUCACCAAAUGGGGAAUCUGGGUCAUGACAAGAUAAGACUUUGCACUAUUCUCCUUUCCAUAUCCCCAAGCCCCUCUGCUCCUCCUUCCGACUUCUCUGCUCAGGCUGCAGCAGCACCAUCCUUUCAGUCAGCCAUGCCGGCACUUCAACUUCACCUCUGACUCUCCUCUUCCCCGCUUAUGUGUUAAAUCAACAUCUGGUGUUACACUGAACCUUGUUUAUACUUUCUCCACGUUUUUGGCUUCGGACCUUUGUUUUCUGUCUCCCUUCCACCUCGAAACCACUCUUCAAGACAUUGCUGUAUUCAUCUUCUUAAAGCAUUGGUCAGCCCACACUACUCACCUCCUUAAAAACCACAUUGGCUUUCCACUGCCUGAGGGAUCCAGGCCCCUGCUCUUUGGCAUGGCCUUUGAGACUUUUUAUAAUACUGGGGAAGCCUCUCCAGGUGUAGCUUCUUGGAAUUCCUCUUUAUAUUUCCAAUCCGCCAGCCAAACUGAGCUAUUCCCAGUUUCUCAAAUGUCCCCAAUGUUUUCCAUGUCUAAACACCUGUCCUUUUUGUGUGGAAUGCCCCACUACUAAGCCUUCCUUAUGGAAUUUCACUCCAUCUUUUAAGGUCUAGCUCAAAUACCACAUCCAGAAAAGCAUCCCUGAACAAAAUGCUCCACAUCUACACCACCCUUAUCCCUGUUCUCUGGACCAAGAGGCAAAUGCUAUUUGACAACUAUUUAUGGAAUAUCUAUUAUGUGCCAGGCAAUGUGGGAUACUCAUUGAUGUACUUUUACAACUUUCAGCAAAUACUAAGUGUUUACUAUGUGGCAGACACUGUUUUAAUAUAAGAGGUGCAAAACUCACAACUGUAAUAUAACAUCAGGCAGUGAUAAGUGUAGUGAAGAAAAUAUGAAGCAACUGAAUCUGAUUCACAUGGGGUGAUAAGAAAUGAAUGAGGAAUCAACAAGACCCACCAGGACUCAUGGCACUGAGAGAUGCCUGCUGCAGUGAUGUGCAGGCCUAACUGGCUCCAUCUAGGAGCAAAAGUUCAGCAACUGCCUCUGGCAAUUCUGUGGCUCUUUCUGCACCCUGACCCCAUCUUUGAUGUUGAUUGGCACUGUGGCUGCUGGGUGUCCUUACGAGCUCUCUUCAAGAAAAAUGCAGCCAUGAGGAGGAUCCGCUUCCAAGGUCUGUAGAUGCAGCGGUUCCCCACUGAUGUACUCUGGAGGCUGUUUUCCGGAGGGAGCAUCCCCACUGUUGGAGGAGGAAAUGCACAGCCAGACCACUGGACAGCAUGGGUUAAUGCAGCCAAUCAGAACAGAGCCUGCCGAUGAGGGCAAGGGGCUGAUCAUUCCUGCCAAGGCGCUCCCCAGAAGCCACUGAAGUCUGUUAGCAGGAUUGCAAACUUUAGCUGAGAAUAGCUCAGGUGAGUUGGUCCUGUGGAAAUCAUAGGCAAACUGGCUGCCUCCUGGGUGCUCCCCUCCCUCAAGUUCCUCCCUGUGGAAUGUCCUCUCCACUUUCCUCCACAAUGAUGAUCGCUAUAGUGACGACUGCUAUGACGAUGAUGGUGAUGAUGAUGUUGAUGACGACGAUGACAUGACCAUGAGGCUCAAUCACUGAGGCUCUCUGCUAAGUGCUUUAUGUGCUUUCUCUUUUUUUUUUUUUUUUUUUUUUUUUUGAGACGGAGUCUCGCUCUGUCGCCCAGGCUGGAGUGCAGUGGCCGGAUCUCAGCUCACUGCAAGCUCCGCCUCCCGGCUUUCUCUCACUUUAAUGCUCACAUACAGUUCUUGAGGUAGGUACCGUCAUUAUCCCUACUUUACAGAUGAGAAAUCUGAGGCACUGAGAAGUUAAGAAUUUUUCACCGAGACAUCCUUGUACAUGAGGGGUGUUAGAAUUCAAACCCAAUCAGAUGCUAGACUCCAGAGCCCCUGUGUGUUUAACUCUAAAACAGUAUAGUCUCCUGUGCUGUUGAAAUUUUAUCUGACCCCAAGGCCUCAUUCAAAUAACACCUCUACCACAAAGCUUUCUUCGGUUAUCUUUUUCAUGUCUGUGCGUGGCACACAUGACUGACCUAAGUAGUUGUCAUUCAUUCAUUCAACAUUUAUUGCGUAUUCAUUAGGCGAUACAUGGACAAAUGCUAUUUUUAAUUUUUAUUUUUGAGUAUUUAUUUUAAUAUGUACUAAAAUAAUAGCUAACACAUCACACCUGUGAGCUUGUAAAUGUUUCCACUUGGACUGAUCUAAAAAAUUACGCUAGAAUUGAAGUCAUUUUAAUGAGGAGCAUCAAUUAAAUGAUUAAUGGGUCAGGGGAAAAGGUUAUGAAAAAAUGGCUUACGUCUUGGAUGCACUGCUCUCAUUUGUGGAAUCUCUAAUCUGAUUCAACAAUCUCAUUGCACAAUGAGGUAACUGAGGCCUAGGGUGUCAGGUGACCUACCUAUGAGUUCCUAAUAGAGGCAGAUUGAUGGAAAGCCUUGAGGGGACCAGAUCCCCAGGCCAGCGUUUCUUUCUAUAAUACCAUUAGUUUUUUUGCUUCCUACCUGUGCAGUUUUAACCUCAAAGGGCAAAACAAUUAAAACAGUUCAUCUGAGUUCAUUCUGGUAACAGAGAGAGCCAGCAAUAACUUCAUACACCCAGUUAGAUUGCUGUCAUUUAACAAGGACUUUUACAAGUAUUUUCCUUAGUGUCCUUUCUCUGUUUAUACUUAUAAACAGAAAAUUUUUUUUCAAGAUGCUUGUCAUUCCUCCCACAUUGUUAGAGAUCUGCUUGUAUAUAGUCUCAGGAAAUGAUUUGAUGUUUUCCCCUGGGAGUUUAUUCUACUUAGCUAGAAUCAUAAGAGAGAAUCAACUUUGUAUGUUAUGAGGCCUCUUUCGAUUUGGGUUGACAUUGUGUGUGCUGUUCUGAUUGCCAAGUUGAAAUUGAAUGGUGUAUAAAUAUAAAAUGACUUGCUUUAACUUUUCCACCUAGGUCAGCCCACUGGGGGAGCACAUUGCUUGAAUCUGAAUGCAUCCUCUUCAGAGGGACACAGUCUGGAAAGAGGGUGACAGGACUGGAGGAGACCACAACCCUAUCAAGGGAGCAGCAGCUGACGGGACUGGGGUUAGCUGGCCUGCAGACUCGAGGGGCCAUCCCAAGAUGGUGCUGAAUCUUAGCAAGACAAGAGUGGAAUUUCCUCGUCGCGGGCUUUUUCUCUCACCCACUGCGCUUGGCAGAAUAUCACAGAACUUGGAAACGCCAGCUUGGGAAUUAAAGAAUUUGACAAACCUGAGUUGGAAAUCCUAGCUCCGCCUCUUACUUAUAUAAUUCUUGGAAAGUUAUUUAAAAGUAAAACUACGUGUCUCAACAGGCUGAUGUAAGAUUAGAUAAGAUGUUGUUUGAAUAGUCUCUGACAAGGAGUAAUGCUUAAUACUUGGAAGCGGCUAUCAUCAUGAUUAUCAUUAGGUGGUGAUGGUGGGAGCUGUGAUGGUGAACACACAAAAAAUAAUAUUAAAAAUUGGUCUUUACAAUAAAAGAAUUUACAAUCCAAGAAAAUCAGGUCAGUGACACAGAGAAGGAAGAAGUGCUCAAAAGAAGUAUGGUCAAUGGGUUGCAAGAUAGGGUUUGCAUUUAGAAAAUAGAAGUUAAUUCCAACUAGAGAUACAGAGAAGGCUUUGAUUGAUGGAGAAAGUACAGAGUGGGACAUUCGGAUACAUUGGGAAACCACCUCUCCUAAAGUUUUUUCUAGAUUCUAAGUGCUCAUGUCUUUACAUUCCUAAGCAACAGUUAAAUAGGACAAGCAAGUUCUCUCUGUGGUCCUCGUUCAGCCUAGAUGUCUGUGGAACUGUUGAAUUCUUUACUUUUUGUUCUGCCUGACUCCCUACCAAAACAAACAAACAAACAAAAAAAAAUGGGAAAGAAAGAAACCAAAAACACAACCAAUGCAUACAUCCCAUGUCCAAAAGGAGUACUCGGUAGCAAGGCACAAGUACACAGAUGAAGGAAAAAUAAAAGAACAGAAAAGAGCAGGAAAAUUUCUGUUUCUUCUCCUAACCAGGAAUUCAGAUGGGGAAUUUAAAGAGUGAAUGCCUUCUAAUUAGCCUUCUGCUCUGUGAGGCUCACACAUAUACUGUGUGCGCCCAGCUACCCCCAGGGCUGUCAGAGAGCAAAACUACUUUAAUAGGAAGAGAGGAAAGAGAGAAGUGAAGAAGAGGAGGCAAGGAAACGAAGCAGGUUCUACACCGCAAAAUAGAGACACAGCCUAUCCUCCUCAUUUAAAUGAAAGAGACAGCUAAUGGGCAGGGCAAAAUUUCCGGCUCACUCUUGGCAUAAGCAGACCUGGGCUAUUGUCCUAGCUCUGCAUGUUACCGGCCUGUCGUAGUAUCCCCUACUUCACAAGCUGUAAUGGAGAUUAAAUGGGAAGCCACCAGUAAAGGAACUAUGGUGAAAAGCAAAGUGGUUCACAUAAAACAAAGAUACUAUUAUUGUUGUUUUCACAGAUGAGGAAACUGAUGUGUAGAAGAGAAGGUCUUUGCUCAGGGGGUCCCAAACAGAUAGCAGAGCUGGAAGUUUCCAUCCUCUCAGGCCGAAUUGGCAGAUUGCUUUCAGGGAUAGGGUGCAGGCAGGCUGGGGCCACCUGAAUAGUCAAAACCCUCUGCUUCAGCCACCUUCAGCUAAGAGAGCCUGGGCCAGGGCUGAUAAACACGGCCAAAGGCAUAUCCGGUAUAAAUUCAGCAGCCCCUCCUACUAAGACGCCAAAGCACGCAGGUUUGUUGUGGGAAGCCCUGGGGAGUGGAGAGGAAGAGCUUGGGAGAACAUGUGGGAAAUUGAGCCAGCCAAGAGAAAUGAAAAACACAUUAGCUGGUGUGAAGGGAAGAGGAUGCAGAGACACAAUCCACAACUUUAAACGUUUCCGUCAUCUGUGGCAGAAAGGUGCAAGUGACCUGCUACAGGGCAAGCCCAAUUCCAAAGCCCAGGCUGCUAAGGCAAAAAGGCUCCAGACAUCACUAUCAAAACUUUUACAAGGAAAGUGAUCGUGACAAAAUCGUUCCAAUGCAAACGUGCAGAAUUUCCACAGCUUGACUCCCAGGUUGGUCUGCAGAAAGAAAACUAUAACCUAAUGACAAUUUUUUUCAUGCCAGGUGGCUUCCAUACCAGCUGCCUAUGAUUUGUUGAGCAAAGCACUUGCCCUUCUUGAGUCUCUGAUUCACUAGCAAGGCAUCUAGAUGGGAAGAGUGAUGAGGUACUUUCUAGGUUUCAAAAUGUGAAGGAUGUGAGAGGGGAUGAGAAUGGCACAAACCUUUAUUGUGUACAACUAGUUGCCAAGGACUGUCUUACAUAUUUUACAUAUAUCACAUCCUUGGGCCUUUAUGGUUUUUCUUUGAGGAAUGUAUUAUUAUUUCUAGUUUAAGUGUGGGAAAUAUGAUGCCCAGAGAGGUCUGAGACUCAUUCAACAUCACACAGUCAAUAGUCACAAAGUUGAAAUUCAAAAUUAUGUCUAUUUCUUUUCAAAGAUAAUGGUAGAAUAAUAGUAAUGGAUGUUCUUGUCCCCUGAAAAUGAUGUUACAGAACAGGCACGCCUUGUUACUGUCAUGAGUCUGUCCCACAUCCCAGCUCUGGAUAUUUUAGGGGAAAGAUCACCAUCUUUGAAGAUGAGACACAAAAGAUGCACACUGAAGCUGGCUCAGACUGUCUCAAAAGAGCUAAUUAUGUGCAACUCUUCUCAACUCCACGUUUAGUGAUGUCACCUCAGUACUUUGAAAUUGGCCAUGACCCCAGUAGUUACACCAUAGAAAUAGACAAACACUACAAGUCAGGGAUCCCCCCUCAUGGAGAGCUGGCUGACUAGCACACCACUGGAUGUUGCCUCAGCUCCAUCACUAGCUGAGAGGAGAAAUAUUUAGACCCAUGUAGUAAUUUGACAUUGUUGUGACAUCCAAGCACUGUGUAAGUGGUCUUGUCUUGUUGACCUAGGUUAGACCUGUUGGGGUAUUGGUGAUGAUCAGAAUCACCUGGAGUGAGUGCUGAUAGCGUGAAGGAGACACAGCCUCCCUUUCUUCUAAUCGGAUAGGGCCUGCUGUGUUUUUACCAAGUUUCCCAGGUAACUCUGAUGCCCACCACAGUUUGGGAACUGCUAGUCUAAUCUACACACCAAGAAUAGGAAUCCCUCCCUUGACCUUCAUCAUGUGGAUGUUGAAAGUAAGCAUAAACAAAUAAACUCAGAUCUUGAAAGGAUAGGUGCCAGAUAAAUAUGAACCUGAGGCUCCAUUUCCUUGCCUGUAAAACAGAGAUACUGCUCCCCUUGCCUGGCACUUCUUGAGAAGGUGAUCCUGUUGUAAUGGUUUUACAAACAGUGAAAGUCUGUACAAUGUGUGGCAUUGUGAUGACAAAAAUAGGAAGAUGAUUUUU